UGCUAGCCCCCACUUCCUAAUGGCAAUUUAAUAUGGUUGGUUGCUCUAGGUAUGCCUUGGCUUCACCUGUUCAAGUAUCUUAGAAAUUAGACCCUAUGGCAGUGACAGUACACCUCUGUGAGAGCCAAACAAAGAACACGGAGUGAAAUUCAGGAGGAGACAUAUGAUUUCUCCAUCCUCGGUAAACAUGCCGGCUUUAAGUAAACAAUGAAAUGACAGUGAGGUAUUUGUUCAUUUAAAAAAAAAAUCUGAAAAAUGUGCCAUUUGAUCUGAUAUUGGCAUUACAGGAAAAACGACAUUCAUUUGUGAGUCUUGCUGACAUUCCGAAAAGAACAGCCCAUUUUGGAAAGUUAUAUUUAGCAAAACCAAGGAAUGAAAGAUUUUAGCAAAUUGCCACGUAAAAUGAUCUGCACAAAAAGGCACCGGGGAAGUGAGCUAAGGCCUGUGCCAAACAGAUGGCACCCCCUGCUGUGUUUUUGAUUGAAAAAGAAAGGUAACAUUUGCAGCCACGUCAAAGAGACAGUGAUCAGCUAAACAAAUUGGUCUCCGAAGUACCCCAUUGCUGGAGCAAGCCCGCUGCAGGGUACAGCCGAGGCUGUAUUUCAAAAUAAUGCCACGUCUGCGUCUUUCCUAAGCGAGGGGAUGUGUCCCCUUUCUGUGCAGCAAAAGGAAGAUGAGGUCUUUGUUGGAGCCGGCUGCUGUGGUAGCUGCAGAAUAAGCAAUAGAACUCCAGGCCAGAAGUCAGAAGUCAUCCAGUGUCUUCCUCAAUUACUUCUCUGCUUUAUUAUUUAUGGAAACACGGUCUCCCACUGAAGCUCAGCAGUUUAGCUAUACUGGCUGACCAGCAAGCUCCAUGGAUACUCCCGCCUCAGCCUCCUCGGUGCUAAAACUACAGCCACGCUCCCAGUACGAAGAUGGCCUUUACUGCUACUUAACUACAGGGCUGCUCAACCAAGAAAUAUCUGGAAGUCAAAUAAUGGUAAUGCUAGCAUCUCUGAGCAGGACAAGAAGACACAAGACCUCAUGCUAAAGCCUGCUGAGGAGCCAAAGCGGAAGAGACUUCCCAGCAUGUGGCUCUAGCUGCUGACUUCCCUGAGAAUGCCAACUUGAGUUCUUCACAAUGAGGGAGACAGCAGAAUCCAGGUGGCCUUCCUGAAGACUCUAAGUGGUUGGAUUUUUACCCAAUUCUCUCAGGGGCCCCAAUCUUAAAGACAAAUAUGCUACUAUCAAAGAUGGAGUCUAAACCAAUGUCACCACCUGGGACGAGCAAUAAGAAAGUGAACUAACUAAGACAAUUUAGUCUCCUAUGUUUAUCUCUAAUAAUUUCUUAAAACCAAAGGAGUUGGCCGGGCGGUGGUGGCGUACGCCUUUAGUCCCAGCACUCGGGAGGCAGAGCCAGGCGGAUCUCUGUGAGCUCGAGGCCAGCCUGGACUACCAAGUGAGUUCCAGGAAAGGCGCAAAGCUACACAGAGAAACCCUGUCUCAAAAACAAAAACAAAAAAAAAAAACAAAAAAAAACAAAAAACAAAAACAAACCAAAGGAGUUGUUACAGUCAAGUAUGUCUUCUGUAAAAAAUGUAUUUGAAUGCCUACAUAUGGGCUACAUUUUACAUGUCACACCUCCAUCAGGAGUCUACAUGUACCCCUUUCAGAUGUCCACCUGUAAUCUGGCCCAUGUCUCACUUAAACUAUGAUAAUUUUUUGAACUACAGCUGAACAGAUCCCACAUUCCCUCCUUCCCACUUACUCCAGUGGUAUUUGUUAAAGGCCUGACCUCAGGCACCGAGGGCUCAGUGCAGUGAUUGACUGAACUCGGAAUUUUCACAGACACAGAAGAAGCUCCUAAAUGUUGCUCAGGGUUCUGUGUUUGGUCCUGUCUGUCACUGAUUUGGCUUGAAUACAAAGUUCAAAUGUUUGCCAACUUCCUACACAGAUUCUGGAGACAUAAAUGCCUAUGGAUGACAUCAUCAGGGUUUGAAAUAUCUUCAGCAGGCUGAAACCAUGAUGAAGACACCAGCAAAAAUGAGCGCCCAAGUUCUGAGUUUAUCAGAUACUCUGCUCCAUGUAGGAAGACUUGGGGGCUGGCAUUUAUAUCGAUUAGUGUGCCUGCCAGAGCCUGGGAUACACCACUUUGAAGCCCUUUCACUAAAGCAAGGCUGCUCUGGUAGGAGGAGCACCGGCCUCAGGAUCCUGGACUGUUUUCCUAAGAGGCACUCACAGGCACCUGCAUAAAGCCUUGUCUUUGUGCCCUCCCUCCCCAGCACAAUUCCCCUCCUCCCCACCAAAGCAGCUGUGAGGAGCCAAGUGUCCAGAGGCCCCAUCAAUGACUCUGAAAAGGGAAAACCCACAUCAUUCCUGCCUAUAGCUCUUCUGAAACUGUGAGGCUGCUCCAACCACUGGCCUGCUGGCUGGCCCAAUGGCAUAAAAGAUUUCCUGCAGGAAGGAGGGGCUGGGGAGCUACACUCACUGCACACCUCUUCUGCAGCAGGCAACAUGCAUGUGGCUAGUGUUGUCUGAGUGUCAUCUAUGGUCUGGCCUGGAGAACAGAACUAGUUAAAAAAUGUUAAAUACACAUGGUGAACAAGACAUGCUUUUAGUUGGAUAUGUUGGCACACAUCUGUAAACCCAACAUUCAGAAUGUUGAGUCAGGAGGACCACCCCAAGUUCAAACCCAACGUGGGAUAUACAUGGCAUCGCUCUUUCUCAAGCCCAGCUCCCACAGGAAGACACGGUUCUAGGAGGCACAGGCAGCCUGGCGGAGCAGAAGCCCAUCUUUCUCCUCAUACCACUCAGCCUAGCACUGAAAACUUUGGGACCUUGGCCAGUGUGUGUGACUUUGGAGCUGGAUGUGUCUGUAUCCCCUCUAACAAUGGGGUUCUCAGAGGGUUUUCUGCCACACCCCACAGGGCCCAGCUGUGAGCAUUGGAAAUAGAAGGCAGCCAGCGGAUGUGUGUUUAACUACAUCAUCAUUGAGGGGGUACAAAACUGUUUUCUUUAGAUCCUUCUCCCUAUGCUGUGUGAAACUCACAGGUGGAAAGAGCCCAGAAAAAUAUAGUCAGUGCAGGUGACCAAUCAGGCUGGGUGGACAGAAGCAGGCUAUUAGGGGGUGUGCCUCGGUCCUUUGGUUCAUUUUGCCCGUAGAGACAAAGAAGAAAAGGUACCUUGCAAAACACUGCUGCCACGAGGUCUUUUAUUCCCGAUGUGACUCUUUGUAAGUGUUUCAGAAUGAACUCCAGGGCAGGAUGACACAGGACUGACUCCCCUCUCUGCCUGUACGCCGGGGGGCCCAGAAGCCUGUCUCCAGGAGGGAGCAUGGUGGUGACUGUCCAUCUGGAGUGCUUCUUGGGUGUCGUCAUUCAGCCUGGACUCUAAGGAGAAAUGCCAUCAGCGUCACAUGGCACACACACCUCUGAAUUGUGCUGCACUUGUGAACCCAGCUGAUGCCUUCAUGUGUCAUGGUAAAUCACGUCCCACAGUUUCUUGGAUUCAAGAGAUAGUGACUGGGCCAAAGGGAGCUGCCACGGUUCUUCCUUCCCAUUCUCUCUCACCCUCUAAUUAUGUUUUCUAAUGGUUCCUUGAUGCUGUAAGCUAUUCAUCACAUGAGCCCUCUUCUUCAGGUUUUUUUUCUCUUUCCAAAUUCAUAUAUCCAGGCUUUCCAAGGGAAAGAUCUGAGGACUUGGCUGUCUUCUGUCCCCAAGAGAAUGGGAGGGUUGUGUGCAAUGGCUGUCUGUGUGAUAUGCACAGAGAAGAGUCCAUGCCAGGCCACCUGUGUGUGCUUCAUCCAGAAGUGGCACUGAGUGGAUGAUGAGCCAGGAAAGAGGCCUGAAUCUUGUGACACUUUCUGCACCCAGCCAGCUCUGGAAAUUCAAGUGACUCAUCCAACGCCACAGGCCCUGGCAGGAGCGACGGGCAUGGAAAGGGGCAGGGGUGGGUUGUAAAUGAAGGGUGGGUGCCAAAGGAGAAGGAAGCCAGAGGGGGCCCCUCCUGAGUCAGUGAGGGCCUGGAAAUGACACUAGAUUCCAUCUUGCUGUGAUGCAGGCUUCUAGAUAUUUCUGUAAGAACUGCUUGGGGAAAAACCUAGUCAUUCUGCUUCCUAUGCCUAACGUGGUGGGCAGCUGUAACCAUUGUAUCAAGCUUACUACACGCUAAAUAUUAUACCCAGGACAUCUCAGCUGUCCACAAACAAGA